rnacentral:rRNA from 1 species
AGAGUUUGAUCCUGGCUCAGGAUGAACGCUAGCGGCAGGCUUAAUACAUGCAAGUCGAGGGGCAGCGGGGGUAGCAAUACCCGCCGGCGACCGGCAAACGGGUGCGGAACACGUACGCAACCUUCCUUUAACUGGAGAAUAGCCCCGAGAAAUCGGGAUUAAUACUCCGUAACAUAAUGAAGUGGCAUCACUUUAUUAUUAUAGCUCCGGCGGUUAAAGAUGGGCGUGCGCCUGAUUAGAUAGUUGGUGGGGUAACGGCCCACCAAGUCUGCGAUCAGUAACUGGUGUGAGAGCACGACCAGUCACACGGGCACUGAGACACGGGCCCGACUCCUACGGGAGGCAGCAGUAAGGAAUAUUGGUCAAUGGACGCAAGUCUGAACCAGCCAUGCCGCGUGGAGGAUUAAGGCCCUCUGGGUUGUAAACUCCUUUUAUCUGGGAAGAAAUGCCAAUUUUCUAAUUGGUUUGACGGUACCAGAGGAAUAAGCACCGGCUAACUCCGUGCCAGCAGCCGCGGUAAUACGGAGGGUGCAAGCGUUAUCCGGAUUCACUGGGUUUAAAGGGUGCGUAGGCGGGCAGGUAAGUCCGUGGUGAAAUCUCUGAGCUUAACUCAGAAACUGCCAUGGAUACUAUUUGUCUUGAAUGUUGUGGAGGUAAGCGGAAUAUGUCAUGUAGCGGUGAAAUGCUUAGAUAUGACAUAGAACACCCAUUGCGAAGGCAGCUUACUACACAAUUAUUGACGCUGAGGCACGAAAGCGUGGGGAUCAAACAGGAUUAGAUACCCCCGUAGUCC